UAGGAACUACUAGUACCGAAUAAAGUUUAGUUUUCCCUGUUUUAUGUAUUUCCCCACCAGAAAAUACUACAGAGAAGUAAAAACACAGCUACAACCAACCAAAUGAGAGCAAAACAAAAACGCUUUGAUGUGGAUUUGUCCGUGAUAGAAGACUAUGACUAUUGAGGUUAAUCUAUUUUGGCAAGUACCUCUCAGGCACCUACAGAGGGCCCAGCUCAGGCUGUGAUUUCGCGGGGACUUCUAGAACAGAUUCCGAGAGAGGGAGGUUUAUCUGAAGCGAUUUGAAUUUGUUCUAUUUCAUCGUUAAUUAUCAGACUGGAAAAGUGUACAGGAUUAUGACAGUGGAAACAGGCAUGGAUAUUGACCUUUUCCUUCACCACGGCUCAACUGUGAAUAUUCACAAUACAAAGAAUGCCAUAGAUGUCUUAAUUAGUGAACCUCUGGAUGUGUCUACUUGACAGC